UCGAACAUUUAUUGAUUUCAAUUAGUCUUGCUAUGAGCCAUGAUGUGUGCUGCUAUAUUCACUUCCCUUCGACAAUAUCGCCACCUACUACUAACAAAACCAUUCAUAAGUCGUCGGAUAUUUCUGCAUCGACUUCCCGCUUCUGUAUUAUCCAGAUCGGCAUGAUCAAUUCCUUGAAUAACCAGUAAACUAUCCUUGGUAUUUAGCAGUUCAGUACUUAAAAAACUCUAAACCCUCAAAUUUCCCUCUUUCCCCACCCCAUC
rnacentral:lncRNA from 1 species